rnacentral:rRNA from 1 species
GGGAGCGCGCUACCUGCAGUCGAAGGUAACAUUUCUAGCUUGCUGAAGAUGACGAGUGGCGGACGGGUGAGUAAUGCUUGGGAACUUGCCUUUGCGAGGGGGAUAACAGUUGGAAACGACUGCUAAUACCGCAGAAUGUCUUCGGACCAAACGGGGCUUAGGCUCCGGCGCAAAGAGAGGCCCAAGUGAGAUUAGCUAGUUGGUAAGGUAACGGCUUACCAAGGCGACGAUCUCUAGCUGUUCUGAGAGGAAGAUCAGCCACACUGGGACUGAGACACGGCCCAGACUCCUACGGGAGGCAGCAGUGGGGAAUAUUGCACAAUGGGGGAAACCCUGAUGCAGCCAUGCCGCGUGUGUGAAGAAGGCCUUCGGGUUGUAAAGCACUUUCAGUUGUGAGGAAAAGUUAGUAGUUAAUACCUGCUAGCCGUGACGUUAACAACAGAAGAAGCACCGGCUAACUCCGUGCCAGCAGCCGCGGUAAUACGGAGGGUGCGAGCGUUAAUCGGAAUUACUGGGCGUAAAGCGCACGCAGGCGGUUUGUUAAGCUAGAUGUGAAAGCCCCGGGCUCAACCUGGGAUGGUCAUUUAGAACUGGCAGACUAGAGUCUUGGAGAGGGGAGUGGAAUUCCAGGUGUAGCGGUGAAAUGCGUAGAUAUCUGGAGGAACAUCAGUGGCGAAGGCGACUCCCUGGCCAAAGACUGACGCUCAUGUGCGAAAGUGUGGGUAGCGAACAGGAUUAGAUACCCUGGUAGUCCACACCGUAAACGCUGUCUACUAGCUGUGUGUGUCUUUAAGACGUGCGUAGCGAAGCUAACGCGCUAAGUAGACCGCCUGGGGAGUACGGCCG